GGCUCCAUCCAGGGACAUUAAUGGUGCUAUAGAUGGUCCAUCAGUUCCCAGAAGAGAAAGAAAAGGGAAGAAAACCUCAACGACAGAGAAACUAAAGGACUCUCCUGAGGAAUUGCAACCAAGUAAUCAUGAAGUAGAAAUCGAUGCACCUUUCGAUUUUCAAGUGUUCCAGCAAGUGAGAGCUGAACUUAUGGAGCUUCUGAAUGGGAUUCGGGCUUCCAAUAGUACUGAAGUGCCAGGCACUGAAUCUGAAUGGAAGAAAAGGCAUUUUGUUGCGCAUGCUGACCGGAAGCAAAGACAAGAGGAGAGUUGGGAGGAGGUGC